rnacentral:snRNA from 1 species
GUGUUCACUUCAGCAGCACAUAUACUAAGAUGGGAAUGAUACAGAGAAGAUUUGCACAGCCCCUGUGCCAGGAUGACACACAAGUUCAUGAAACAUUUCCAGAAAUU